ACUUAGUGGCGGACGGGUGAGUAACACGUUGGUACCUGCCCUCUAGUGGGGAAUAACCCGGCGAAAGUCGGGCUAAUACCGCAUGUGGUCUACGGAUCAAAGCCUUCGGGCGCUAGAGGAUGGGCCUGCGUCUGAUUAGCUAGUUGGUAGGGUAAAGGCCUACCAAGGCGACGAUCAGUAGCUGGAUCGAGAGGUUGACCAGCCACACUGGGACUGAGAUACGGCCCAG
rnacentral:rRNA from 1 species